GACUCAUGGCUCAACGGUAGAGCAUCGGAAUGGUACGAAGAAGGUUUAGGGUUCGAUUCCCUAAAGAGUCA
rfam:Daphnia magna strain Xinb3 scaffold03124, whole genome shotgun sequence.